UCCUACGGGUGGCAGCAGUGAGGAAUUUUGCGCAAUGGGGGCAACCCUGACGCAGCAACGCCGCGUGGGUGAAGAAGGCCUUCGGGUCGUAAAACCCUGUCGAGUGGGAAGAAAGGCCUCAAGGCGAAUAGUCUUGGGGUUUGACGGUACCACUAAAGGAAGCACCGGCUAACUCCGUGCCAGCAGCCGCGGUAAUACGGAGGGUGCGAGCGUUAUUCGGAAUUACUGGGCGUAAAGGGCGCGUAGGCGGCCGAGCUUGUCCGAUGUGAAAGCCCGGGGCUUAACCUCGGAAGUGCAUGGGAAACGGUUCGGCUUGAGUGUCGGAGAGGGUGGGGGAAUUCCCGGUGUAGAGGUGAAAUUCGUAGAGAUCGGGAGGAAUACCAGUGGCGAAGGCGCCCACCUGGACGAUGACUGACGCUGAGGCGCGAAAGCGUGGGGAGCAAACAGGAUUAGAUACCCUGGUAGUC
rnacentral:rRNA from 1 species